rnacentral:rRNA from 1 species
AUUGAACGCUGGCGGCAGGCCUAACACAUGCAAGUCGAGCGGAUGAAGGGAGCUUGCUCCUGGAUUCAGCGGCGGACGGGUGAGUAAUGCCUAGGAAUCUGCCUGGUAGUGGGGGAUAACGUCCGGAAACGGGCGCUAAUACCGCAUACGUCCUGAUGGAGAAAGUGGGGGAUCUUCGGACCUCACGCUAUCAGAUGAGCCUAGGUCGGAUUAGCUAGUUGGUGGGGUAAAUGCCUACCAAGGCGACGAUCCGUAACUGGUCUGAGAGGAUGAUCAGUCACACUGGAACUGAGACACCGUCCAGACUCCUACGGGAGGCAGCAGUGGGGAAUAUUGGACAAUGGGCGAAAGCCUGAUCCAGCCAUGCCGCGUGUGUGAAGAAGGUCUUCGGAUUGUAAAGCACUUUAAGUUGGGAGGAAGGGCAGUAAGUUAAUACCUUGCUGUUUUGACGUUACCAACAGAAUAAGCACCGGCUAACUUCGUG